CAAGCCUGGGCAAUGGCGGGCGCCCCUCCCCCAGCCUCGUUGCCGCCUUGCAGUUUGAUCUCAGACUGCUGUGCUAGCAAUCAUCGAGACUCCGUGAGGGUAGGACCCUCCCAGCCAGGUGCCGGAUAUAAUCUCGUGGUGCGCCGUUUUUUUAAGCCGGUCCGAAAAGCGCAAUAUUCGGGUGGGAGUGACCUGAUUUUCCAGGUGCGUCCGUCACCCCUUUCUUUGACUCGGAAAGGGAACUCCCUGACCCCUUGUGCUUCCCAAGUGAGGCAAUGCCUCGCCCUGCUUCGGCUCGCGCACGGUGCGCGCACCCACUGACCUGCGCCCACUGUCUGGCACUCCCUAGUGAGAUGAACCCGGUACCUCAGAUGGAAAUGCAGAAAUCACCCGUCUUCUGUGUCGCUCACGCUGGGAGCUGUAGACCGGAGCUGUUCCUAUUCGGACAUCUUGGCUCCUCCCCAAGAGUUCUGGAGUCUGAGAAGUCAAGGAUCGGGGUGCUGGCCUAUUCAGUUCCUGGUAAGGGCUGUCUUCCUGGCUUGCAGUUGAACUACUUCUUGCUGUGUCUUCACAAGCAUGCCCCCAUCCUGUGCCGAUAAGAACUCCAGACCCCAAACUCAGCUCAUACACACACGGAAGAGAGAAGCAUCUGAACAUCAAGAAGAGAAGAAGCUGCUGGACAUCAGAAACUGUGAAAGGAGAGGAGUUUGGCUGAGCUCCAGGGGAAGACUGCCUGCACAUUCUAUCCCCUUUUCAGUUCCCCAUCCUGCUGUCAGCCACAUUUACCACUCAAUAAAAUCUUCACAUUCACCAUCCUUCAAGUCCGUGUGACCUCAUUCCUCUUGGGCACUGGACAAGGACCCAGUUGCGGGUGCAGUAGGCUGUCACACUGACUCUCCACUGAGCUGUUUAACACUUAAGUUGUCUGUAGACAGCAAAGCUAAAACAGCACACUGUAACACAUGCCCUCUGGGGCUCUAGAGGCUGUGGACAGCCCCUAGACGCUGCUGUGGGCUGGUAAGGAGUUUAUUCCUGCUGGUGCCCAAAGGCACUCACCCCAGCUCCUGCACCCACUCACCUACAUCUUCCCCCUCUUUCAAGGGGUUUGAGCACUGCAGGCUGAGUAAGCGAGCCAGCGCUUCACAAGCCCCAUGGGGUCAAGGGAACCCAUC
rnacentral:lncRNA from 1 species